rnacentral:rRNA from 1 species
GGUAGAGCACUGUUUCGGCUAGGGGGCCAUCCCGGCUUACCAACCCGAUGCAAACUGCGAAUACCGGAGAAUGUUAUCACGGGAGACACACGGCGGGUGCUAACGUCCGUCGUGAAGAGGGAAACAACCCAGACCGCCAGCUAAGGUCCCAAAGUCAUGGUUAAGUGGGAAACGAUGUGGGAAGGCCCAGACAGCCAGGAUGUUGGCUUAGAAGCAGCCAUCAUUUAAAGAAAGCGUAAUAGCUCACUGGUCGAGUCGGCCUGCGCGGAAGAUGUAACGGGGCUAAACCAUGCACCGAAGCUGCGGCAGCGACACUGUGUGUUGUUGGGUAGGGGAGCGUUCUGUAAGCCUGUGAAGGUGUGUCGUGAGGCAUGCUGGAGGUAUCAGAAGUGCGAAUGCUGACAUAAGUAACGAUAAAGCGGGUGAAAAGCCCGCUCGCCGGAAGACCAAGGGUUCCUGUCCAACGUUAAUCGGGGCAGGGUGAGUCGACCCCUAAGGCGAGGCCGAAAGGCGUAGUCGAUGGGAAACGGGUUAAUAUUCCCGUACUUGGUGUUACUGCGAAGGGGGGACGGAGAAGGCUAUGUUGGCCGGG